CCUACGGGUGACAGCAGUGAGGAAUAUUGGUCAAUGGACGAGAGUCUGAACCAGCCAAGUAGCGUGAAGGAUGACUGCCCUAUGGGUUGUAAACUUCUUUUAUAUGGGAAUAAAACAGGGUAUGCAUACCCUCUUGUAUGUACCAUCAGAAAAAGGACCGGCUAAUUCCGUGCCAGCAGCCGCGGUAAUACGGAAGGUCCGGGCGUUAUCCGGAUUUAUUGGGGUUAAAGGGAGCGUAGGCCGGCAUUUAAGUCAGCUGUGAAAGUCCGCGGCUCAACCGUGGAAUUGCAGUUGAAACUGGAGGCCUUGAGUGAACACAGGGAUGCCGGAAUUCAUGGUGUAGCGGUGAAAUGCUUAGAUAUCAUGAAGAACUCCGAUCGCGAAGGCAAGUGUCCGGGGUGCAACUGACGCUGAGGCUCGAAAGUGCGGGUAUCAAACAGGAUUAGAUACCCUUGUAGUC
rnacentral:rRNA from 1 species